UACAGAGGAGCCAAGCGUUGUCCGGAUUGACUGGGCGUAAAGCGCACGCAGGCGGCACCGCGCGUGGGGUGUGAAAUCUGGCCGCUUAACGGCCAGGCGCCAUCCCAUACGGCGGAGCUGGAGUGAUGCAGAGGUCGGUGGAAUUGCCGGUGUAGUGGUGAAAUGCUUAGAUAUCGUCAAGAACACCUAUAGCGAAGGCAGCUUACUAGGCUGUAACUGACGCUGAGGCACGAAAGUGUGGGGAUCAAACAGG
rnacentral:rRNA from 1 species